GGGGAUUUGGCUCAGUGGUAGAGCGCUUGCCUAGCAUGCACAAGGCUCUGGGUUCGGUCCCCAGCUCCG
rnacentral:tRNA from 1 species